CUAUCCUUGAUUCACAGCAAAGAUGGAAGUCUGAGUAGCAUGCCCUACAUACCAGCAGAUGUCAGAAACCUAAAGGCAAAGUACCAUCGAGAGAGUAGGUUGGCUGACAUAGAAGACACGAUCGCCUACUUCGAAGAGAAAGCAAAAGUAGAUCCUGAUUUCUUCUACAGGAUAAGAUUGGACGAUGAGGACCGUGUCAGAAACAUGUAUUGGGGGGAUGGUGCGGCAAGAAGAGCCUACAAACAUUUCCGUGAUUGUAUUUCUUUCGACACGACAUAUCUCACGAAUAUGUAUAAGAUGCUAUGUGCUCCAUUCAUAGGAAUAAAUAACAACAAGCAUUCCUUGCAGUUAGGUUGA
rnacentral:rRNA from 1 species